GACGAACGCUGGCGGCGUGCUUAACACAUGCAAGUCGAACGGAAAGGCCCUGCUUUUGUGGGGUGCUCGAGUGGCGAACGGGUGAGUAACACGUGAGUAACCUGCCCUUGACUUUGGGAUAACUUCAGGAAACUGGGGCUAAUACCGGAUAGGAGCUCCUGCUGCAUGGUGGGGGUUGGAAAGUUUCGGCGGUUGGGGAUGGACUCGCGGCUUAUCAGCUUGUUGGUGGGGUAGUGGCUUACCAAGGCUUUGACGGGUAGCCGGCCUGAGAGGGUGACCGGCCACAUUGGGACUGAGAUACGGCCCAGACUCCUACGGGAGGCAGCAGUGGGGAAUAUUGCACAAUGGGCGGAAGCCUGAUGCAGCAACGCCGCGUGCGGGAUGACGGCCUUCGGGUUGUAAACCGCUUUCGCCUGUGACGAAGCGUGAGUGACGGUAAUGGGUAAAGAAACACCAGCUAACUACGU
rnacentral:rRNA from 1 species